rnacentral:rRNA from 1 species
UACGGAAGGCAGCAGUGGGGAAUAUUGGACAAUGGGCGCAAGCCUGAUCCAGCCAUGCCGCGUGUGUGAAGAAGGCCUUCGGGUUGUAAAGCACUUUUGUCCGGAAAGAAAAGCUUAGGGUUAAUAACCUUGAGUCAUGACGGUACCGGAAGAAUAAGCACCGGCUAACUUCGUGCCAGCAGCCGCGGUAAUACGAAGGGUGCAAGCGUUACUCGGAAUUACUGGGCGUAAAGCGUGCGUAGGUGGUUUUGUUAAGUCUGAUGUGAAAGCCCUGGGCUCAACCUGGGAAUGGCAUUGGAAACUGGCUUACUAGAGUGCGGUAGAGGGGUGUGGAAUUCCCGGUGUAGCAGUGAAAUGCGUAGAUAUCGGGAGGACAUCUGUGGCGAAGGCGACACCCUGGGACCAGCACUGACACUGAGGCACGAAAGCGUGGGGAGCAAACAGGAUUAGAUACC